rfam:Ananas comosus cultivar MD2 ACMD2_Scaffold_7999, whole genome shotgun sequence.
CCGACCUUAGCUCAGUUGGUAGAGCGGAGGACUGUAGUUGGAUUGAACAGGCAUCCUUAGGUCGCUGGUUCGAAUCCGGCAGGUCGGA